rnacentral:lncRNA from 1 species
UUUUUCGGUGAGGAAGAUUUACCCUGAGCUAACAUCUUGCCAAUCUUCCUCUAUUUUAUGUGGGAGGCCACCACAGUGUGGCUUGAUGAGUGGUGCUAGGUCCGUACCUGGGAUCCCAACCUGUGAACCCCAGGGCCACCAAAGCAGAGCACGUAAACUUAACCACUACAAUACCAGGCCGGUUCCCAUCUAUGAUGUUUUUGAGGUGAAUAUACAAGAACUGCUUACUAACAGUUCUAAAUACAAACUAACUCUGUGGUUCUGCCUGACUCCGGAUCCCACAACCUCCACUCUUUUGAGCAUUUUGAACUUUGGCAAAUUAAAAAGGUACUUGACAGCAAAUAAAUAAAUACAAAUAAAAUUUAAGGAAAAUUCUACUCCAACAACUAUUAUUCUUGUUACUUAAAUUUUGCAAUGCCCUCCAAGUGAGGGGGAAUACCCCCUCAAAGACAGUCACAAGAUCACCACUGGAGUUGGAGAAAACAAGUUUCUGUUUUUGUUUUUUUGAGGAAGAUUAGCCCUGAGCUAACAUCUGCUGUCAAUCUUCCUCUUUUUGCUGAGGAAGACUGGCCCUGAGCUAACAUCCAUGCCCAUCUUCCUCUACUUUAUAUGUGGGACGCCUACCACAGCAUGGCCUGCCAAGUGGUGCCAUGUCUACACCCGGGAUCCGAACCGGUGAACCCCGGGCCGCCAAAGCAGAACAUGCGAACUUAACUGCUGUGCCACCAGGCUGGCCCCAGGAGAAAACAAGUUUUGAUUUACAGAGUUGACCAAACCACGAAGACAGAGCAUCCCAAACACAAAUGUAUUUGCAGCCCACCCUUAGUGAACUGAGUCCCCAAAUUGUCACCCCACAAAUGCACUGCAGAGCUACCUACAAACUCUCUGAUGUCGCCGUUGUGAACGUCCCCAAGACGCUGUAUUUUGAUGGUUUUACAAUAGCUUGUUUCUACAUUAGACACAAAGCUGUCACUGAGGGAAGUUGCUAUAGUGCCAAUCCACUCCAAGGGUUGACAGCAGAGACCCGGUAAAACAGUCUAAAAGCAACACAGAAGGUUGGAUGUUGUGAAGAAGGGAUGCAAUGCAGUUCUCUCUCCAAGAAGCAUCAGGACCACACAGACGCUAAUUAAUUGAUGGGGACAAUGCGUUUCCAGCUGCAGGACCAGGCAGGCUGGAAGGCGGUCAGACAGCUGCUGUUGGGAGUGAUUUCCAAAGCUAGCACACUGGGAGUGCCAGGGGUUUCAAGGAACUGUUGAGUGGCUCUUUCCUCUUCCUUAAUGACCAGUGAGAUCCAGACCUAUUAUUCAAGCAGAGGCGGAAAUCCUCCGCACAGCAGCUGCUGAGGCUCAGUCUGUGUCCCUAGGACGUUACUGAGCAAGAUUAUCUGUUCAGCGCUGUGCAUUGCUAAGGGAUUAAAACCGACUUCAUUCAUCACAGGCAGCCUAGGAUUUCUCCUCGACUGAGGGAUCAGAAGAAAGAAGAUCCUUCCACCACGCCCUGGCAUAGAGAUGCUUCCUGGGCUCCACAUCAAUUCCAUCCUACAGGCUUCUGCUCGUCCAAACCUCAAGCUCUGCUCGCCCUUUCUCUUCUUCAGGAUGACUGUGUUUGUCAGCUUGGGUGCAAACUCCGGGCAGUGCAGCCGCGAGGAGUCUGUUGUCGGGGGAAGUGAAACAUUAGGAGGGACCGACAUCACUAUUGUCACACAUCAGAGACGCGCCAUCAUGACCUGUCACCUAGGAGGCCAAGUUUGCCACAGGAACCGAAAUUUGAAAUUCCAGCAUGUGUCCCAAAAUGGGAUGAGUUCAUGGAGAUGGAGGAAGAUAAUUAAGGAAAAUGAAUUUAAAGUGCACUCAAGUGAUGACUUCUUGUUUUGUGCACUGUAGGUUUUAUCCUUGGUUAGGAGACCAUGGCGGAAAGAAACAAAAGUGGAAAUAAUAUGGAAUAAAAGAAUAAAAUGGGAUAAAAAAUACUGAUUAGAACGUUCUUAUUUCUAUAAGGAUGCUCUUCUUGAAAAUAAGAACAUAUUCUCAUUUCAAUAGGAAUUUUCAUUUCUUACUGAGAUAAAUGAAUGACAUGGGAAAACUCUUGUUUUCUUUGCAUUCUAUGUCACUGUUGCUCGGGGUGCCUUCUGCAAGAGACUGAGGGCUCCCCAAACCACGGACCUGCGUGUGGUUUGUCUGGCUCACACACACCUCAUAGGUCCUUCCGUUUGGCGCUGGCCCCACUGCCGUGCCCCUGGGCCAGGGGAGCACAGCCUCUCCACUGGUCUCUCCUUAGCCCCACUUCAGCACAGCUGGAUAGCAGGCCUUUCCAAGCCCAGGUCUACAGGUCCUCGCCCGCUUCUGAGAGACUGAGCACACACACAGACAACAAUCAGACAUCUGUAAAGACGGAGCUGUCACCACAACCUGCAGCCACCCGCCUGGGAAACCGACCCCUCGUCUACAGUGAACAUCCCAGGAAGCUAGCUGCCUACGUCAGACUUGCAGGAAGCCAGGCUGCCAUCUCCGGUCACAAUCCAGGAGGCUGCACAGUCACUUUUGUAACAAUCAGCCCCAAACAGCUGGAACUUGAUCAAUAACUGACGACUGCCCUAAUUUUUUCCCCUGCUUCCAACUCAGGACCAACCAGAGAAAGCCGAUUUUGCUCCCCUCGCCAACCACAUCGGAGCCCCACUUCUGGAAUUCCCUCCCCACCUCCCCCAGGCCCACGGCCUCCAUCGGGGUGCUCCUGAGCCCCCCUCUCCACUAGGAGGUUCCCCCACUCCUCUGCCUGCCUGGGGUCUCUGCCACACGACCCCCCUGCUCCAGCGUCUCUGAGUGGACAGCCUCUGCUUGUUGUCUUGGGUGGUCUUCCUUUAUUUCCACACCUCAAAGUCUCCCUACGCGUCACCGCGAUCUGGACUCUCCUGGACCAGCCCUGAGGCUCCCCUGGUACCUGUCGGCCUCACUCCCUCCCAGCUCCAGAGACCUGCUCUGUCCUUUUGUCCCUGGAUUCCUCCCGCACCUGCUCUUUGCUCCCCAGUCUGCCUCCUCUCCCUUCACCCCUCUUCCCUGCUCCCGCACCUCAGCCCCAGCCCCAGCCCCAGCAGCAGCCUCUGCUCCUCCCAGUCGAACGCCCAACCUCCUGUCCACUCUGAGUCCAAACACUGCUCCUUCCUCGAAUGUCCCCUACCUGGCUCCCGUGGCGGGCUCCAGCGGGCCCCACAGCAUGGGUACCUGCCUCGUUAGGGUUGUUAGGUUAUCCUUAGUUAUUGCAGAUUUUCUCCAGCCAAACAAAGCUUCCCCGAGGCUGACGCCCUGUUUUUCCCCUCCCCUCUCAUCGCAGCUAGCACGGUUCCUGGAUGCAAUAGGCGCUCACCACAUACGGUCAACAGGAGGGAUGAAGGUUUAGACUGGGCAUGGUCGCCCACUACCCUCCUGGUCAUAAGGAAAAGAUUCAGGACAUAGAACUUUCUUUUUCCUACAGUCCUGAGCACUUUCUCAAAUUCUCCCACUUUCUGCUCUGUGCCUACAAAGGGGCUGUCACAGCAGACCACCACAGCCCAGGCAAUUUAAACAAUAGACAUCUAUCCUCAGGGGUCCGGAGGCUGGAAGUCCACGAUCAAGGUGCCAGUGGGUUGGUUUCAUUCUGAGGUCCCUUCUCUUGGCUUGUGGGCUGCAGCUGCCUUGCCGGGGAGGGGGGGCGGGGGGCGGGGACUCACACGAGUUCCUCUUUAACCCCAUCAAGGGGGCUCCACCCGUAGGACCUCAUAUACCCCUAAUCACCUCCCGCGGCCCCGCCUCUAAACGCCAUCACCUGGGGGUUAGGGCAUCCACAUAUGGAUCUGAGGGGAGACACAAACGUUCAGUCCACAAUAAAAGAUAAACGUUCUGUUUCCUUAAAUGAUGCAGUAUGGUUUGCUAAAAUACAUUGGGGCAUUUUCUCUGACAUAAACUUUUUUCUAAUUCUUAUAGAUGAGCAAUUCUUAUAUAUUUAAUUUCCACCUUAGCUUGACUAUGAUAUUAGAACUAACUUACCCUUUAUUUAAUUUUUUUUUUGGUCAAAGUAUUUGUAUCUUCAUCAUGCUGGAAGUUACAAGUGAUUUAUAAUGAUUCCAUGAAGUCAAAUUGUGACUUGUCUUUUUAAAAAAUGCUUUGGGGUGGGGAAAGAGUGCGUCUGUCUUUAUUCGCACUUGAAGGUGCCCCCAUG